UUUAGCAGAGGAUUUGGACCCAAUGAUCUCUUGAGGUCCCUUACAACUCCUGCAAUUCCAUGAUUCUUCUAACAUCUAUCUCCACCUCACCCCAAGAAAACAAGUAUUAAAGAAUCCAACUUGAUUCACCUCUCAGUCCAAUAAGAGUUUUACUUGGCCUAAUCCAACUACUUUAGUUUAUGGAUAACAUUUAUUAUUUUGAAGGGAUGUUCUAGUCUGACCUGCUAGCAGUUAGAAAUAGGUCCAACAUAUCCUCGCAACAUAGAAUAGUCUUUCCUAGGUCCCUGUGACUGAUAUUUGAACAGAAAAGCAUAUAAUAAGUUAUUCUGCUGGAGCUGGAGUAAAACUGAACUGCCUGGUAAAGCAAUUUUUCAGCCUUUUGUGUAGUACAUAGGGAAUCAGGCCUUUUUGCCAUAAAUUAGCUGUUUACUGAAAGUUUCCUACAGCUUUUAAUAAACAGAUUGUUUCAUCCUUUUACUUAUUAAGAUGCUCUUAUCUCUGCAAUAAAAAUGUAUAUAACUGGGAGAGAUUUCUGAGUGAUGGAGUGGAUUUGUGAAAAUGUCUGCAUAAUGUUUUUCUACUUGCUUUCAGCCCUGUUCUUGGGUUUGCUGGCUGAGACAAUGUUUGGAGUAAGUCACAUGAUCAAUCUGCAUUUUCUUGCAGUCUUCCUGAACUGUUGCACUGGUGUUUUUCAUGCAAGAUAAUCUGUUGAUCUAAACUUCAUUUUUUUAAAAGUUCUCCUGCUCAGACACUCACGGUUACCCAUCACCUUGAUGUGCACUUGACUCACCCUAGCCUCGGGCCCCAUGCCCCACACAGAUGCUCAUGGAGGCAGCAGGAAGAUGAGGAGCUCUCCAGGGUUCUGCUCAAGCUGAGCUGCAAGCAGCUGGAGGAUAAUUAUUUGGGGAGAAAUACCCCCAAACUGCCCUUUGAUCCAGCCAGCUUGAGUCAGCUUGCAGGAAUGAGGGUAUUCCCAAUGGCUGAAUGGGGUAAAUAGUGCACUAAACUGCUAACGGCUCUCUACUGCAAGAUGGAAACUAAUUCUGGCAAAUUCCCAUUUACCUGCCUACAUCAUGAUGUUCUGAACAGUGCACUGAGUUUUCCACAUGAUGUUUAUGGAAGUAGUUUUUUAAAAUGUGCUUAUACAUGAUGUUUAUGUUUAAGUAGACUAGCAGUGGUGGGACAAUAUUUGCACUGGAGGAGGCAGCUGAGGACGAGCCUGCAGAGUUUCAGAAAGUGAUGUUGAGAGAAGUGGACAAGCAGUUGAUGGAUUCACUUUAUGAGGAUCGAUUCAGGAAUGAUCUAAUGCUGAAGUAAAGUGAAGCACGUUUUUAAACAAAAAUUCUAACAGGAAAUUUUAAGGAGAUUACUUAAAUGUUAUCUUUCUGGUUGCACUGGAAAUCUAACUUUCACCUUUUCAUCAGCAGUUUGAGCUGGACAUUAAGAGUCAACCUCUUUACAUGACUUCAUAGAUUGACUAGGGCUAAGCAGUCCAGGUAAAAAAUUUGCAGUCUUUGCACUGCUCUGAGUUUGUCCUCUGGAUACAAGGAACUGAGGGAUAUCAAGUUUAAGACAAAGCACAAAACCAUAAGGAUUGGUGGUGGAUGUGAAAAAUAGGGAAAUUGGUAAGAAUAGGGGAUAGCAAAAGGGGCACAAUAAGAAGUGCACUGGGACAUUAUGCAGCUCUUGCAGGAAACAAACCACAGAUGUUAAGCAGCUCGUUAGUGAGGCACAAGUCUCUCUAAGCGGUAAUACCAGACCUGGCCAAUUACAGCACGAAUGUGUGGGUGUCUAAGUGUGGACUGUGUGCCUCUGCAGUGCAGAGGCUGGAAGACAGGUUUGUCACAAGCACACAGGCACACAAGCUGGGACACAGCAAUAGAGAAGUAACCUUGGUGACAGCAGCAGGACUGAAACGCACAUUCAUUACUCCCAGCUCUGUGCUCAGACCAGUAGACUACCUUCUGUGUUAUCAGCAGUGAUGAAAUACAACAGUCACUGCUGCAGGCAGAGUAGGCUAAUGGCAGCAUUGUUCUGUGCUUGCCCUAUUUCCUAUAUUUUUUCCCUUAGCACUCGUUUCUGACUAUGAUCAGAGAUUGGAUAAGGGGACUUACAGGCCUUUGGUCUAUGCCAGUACAGUUGUUCUAGUUUCCCUAAUGCCCAACAUAGCUCUCAUCCACUGUAAAUAAAGAACAGGAUGUGGCACAGUAAGUUUCUUUGUUUACAGUGUCUUAAUAAAUUCCAGAACAAAUGUACUCAAUUUGGAAGCAAAGGAACGCUUUUUUUACUGUCAGCACUACAAGCUCAUCUUGAAAGCUGAUAGUCAUUGCCUGCUUGCUUUCCUGUACAUCAAUGCAAAUAAAGCUCUGGAGACAAAACCUGUGAAUUUCUUCUGCAGUAUCUUCUCCCUGCCUUCCACAGCAUUGGCAGUUCUUACCUUCAACAGGUUUAUGAAAUAUCUCAGCUGAAUAAAAAUAUGUUGUUAGUGAGACAGGAGUUUACUUCAUCUAUUUUAUGGUAAAAAGAAAUAAGUUAUGUUAUCUCAGUUUUAAAGGGAGCAACAACUAUUUUUUUAAUCUGUGCAAGUAAAAUGACACUUGACAAUCCUGAUAUGCUAUAUAGCAAAAUUAUUUUUUUGUAUGAUGCUGUUUAACAAAAUAAUGUAAAUACAUGAGUUACAUAGGUAUUAGUAAGGGCUGAAUUAGUUCAGAGCAAAUGAUUAAUGACGCUGUUUUUGGUUGGUUGGUUUUUUUUUCCAGUUAAAUUCCAGUGUAUCCUCAUUAACUGUUUCUCCUUGUGUUAUUUAAGUUUGCCAUAAUAAAGAAUCUAUUAUGAUUCUAAUUAGUAACUUUUGAGGAGCGCCAUUACCACAGUGAAUUGAGAAGGUCAGUACAUCAGGGAAUCUGUGAAAGUACUUAUGUUAGAGCAAAAUGUCUUUCCUGUCCCUUUAUUUAGAUAAUUCAGAGUUUUAAACAAAAGGAUGGCAGAUAGUGAUUACUACAAAGCCUACUACGACUAGAAAAAAAUACUAUUAUCAAGGCCUGAUACAAAAAUCUCUCCUAGCCAAAUCUGUCAUUUUCCAUUUGGAGAACACUGGAUUGUUCAUCUUGUUUUUUAAAAUGUGCUUAAACAGAAAUUCAGAGUAGUCACAGCAGUGAAACACCUUUGAGAUUCAUUUCUAAUGCUUUUUCAUUAAUCUGAAUAGAGUAACAGCAAUAGUAUUUAGUCUAUGUGGACUGCAAAGGAGAGAAAUGCAGUUCCAUGACAAAAGGCAUGCUCUGGUUAAAUCAAUUUCUAUAGCAUCUUGUCUCGACAUAUUUGAGAGCACUAUCUUUCUCAAUUAAUGUCAGCUCUGCUCUGGGAAUACUCUUUGGUAGUUAACUAUUGCUGUUAGAGAGCUAACUUUAGACAUAACACAGCUGGCUUAUGUAUUUUGCUGUUAAUAUUUUUGGUAAUGGAACAACAAAUUAUAAGUAAACAAUCUAUUAAGCAGAAUGCAGCAGAUUUUCCAUCCAAAUAAGUCAAUUUUAAGGAUAAGAAAACUCAAGUGUAAAUUUCAUUUGACUGGCUUGAGAUAGAAAAAUUAUGAACCUUGGAUCUUAGGGAUUUCUUUUUCCCAGAUUUCUAAGUCUCUGAACUACUGGGGCCUACACACAUGCCUGUGCAAAAACCAACAAUCUUCAGAAUAUUUCAUUUUAAAUUAAUUACAGCUUCUUUGCUUUUGCUUCCACUUACAUCAAAGUCAAAUAGAAAAUCCUCAACAGCCUAAAUCCUCACAUAACACAAGAAUCAAGGAAGAGAAGAUAUGAUGCUCAGAGGGUAUCAAGAAAACUGAAUGCAUUUGGGAAAAAAAGAUCAUGGAGCACAGAAGAAGAAAGAACUGAGGAAGAAGAUAAUAGGAAGCAAGUGCAAGGCAAAUUUCUAAUGCAUAUGCUCCUAUUGCUUCCAUAGGUAACUAUCCACUAGAGGUUGUAAGUCAUAGCCAUGAGGCUUACUGUAGUAGAAUUUGGGCUUUGUUAAGAUUUGGAAGGAGGAAGCAUAGUAUGAAAGCGAAAGACGAUGCGAGUUCCCUACCCCAGCAGAAUUUCAUGGUGCAAAGUUCUGUGAAAGUCACCAAUUGGACUUAGAUCUUUCUGUCUUUGGCCUGCUAUUGUUACUCCUUUGUUCAGAAAAUCCCCAUCUCUGUUAGCCCAUUUGUUCUCUUGUUGGUGACAGUAGCACCAGGAGCUAAGGAUGGCAGAAACUGUGUGUUGUCAGCAUGCUCUUUGGAACUCGUGGACCUGUCACUGCCUCUCAUCACUGGCUAGUCACAUGUGCCUGAAAUCAACUGGUUUGAGACCUACCAACAGUGACCCUGCAGUUCUCCUCAAACACCUCUUCCUGACUUGCAAUUUACAACUCAGUUCCUCCGGUUUUCAUUAGCUGCCCAUGGGGAAUCAUUUAUGGUCUCGUAUUCCUGCCUCUCUUUAUCUGCAGAAUGAAAAAGGCUUUUAAACUUAAAAGCGAGCUCAGCCAUGUCCUCUCCUCAAGGAAAACCAAGAAGCAAAGUACAUAGUAAAGUAUGUCUAGAAUUGGAAAUGGGGCAUAGGAAAAUCAGCCCAUCCCUGGUUGUGUCAUAUAUGCUUCUCAAAAUCAGUAGUUCAGGGAUUUCCUGAUGAAGAUGUAUCUAGAUAAGCAAGUCUCAGAGACAUUGUUGAGCCUAGCUACCAUGAAUUCAUCUAUUUUCUUUUUGAAAUUUUUUUAUUUUAUUCUUUUUUAUUCAUUUAUACUUCGGGGCUUUACAACAUCCUGUGGCAAGAAAUUCAUAUGAAAAUGUAUUUCUUUCUGUUCUUUUUGAACACUUCUCCCUGAUAGACUGAAUUAAGAUGGUAUUAUGCAAAGUGGUAAUAAUCAUUUUCUGUUCGCUUUCCUCCCACCUUCGUUAUUUUCCAGACUUCUGUGCACCUCCCUGUGUUUGCAGUACAGAAUGGAAGUCCCAAUCUCCCUCUGUUUAUACUAGGACUUCUGAAUGACAUGAGGGCUUUUCAGUGUUAAGCUAUUAGUAGCGACAGUAGUCUUCUCUCAGCGGACUGCAUAAGAACUGUUGGAUAAAUAAAUACGUAAUGCAAACUCAGAAAAGAUGCAUAGUUAUUUCCACACACUGAAAGAAAGAAAGACAGGAAGUCUGCAGUUGAUACUUUGGUGUCACAGAUAGAAAUGACUCGUCUAACGUGCUGUGAACCAACUCAGAGCCAAAGCAAUUAUCUAAUGCAUGUCAACCCUCAGGGUCAUCUGCACUCUGCUACCCUCCCUGAUGCCAGAAAAGUUCUGUGACAAACACCAGCCAUCAAAAACACUUCUUCCUCUCAAACACCAUGUGACCAGUUUCCAAAGUGGCCUGCAGUUGUAUCCUGCUCAUCUUCAAAUUCCAACAGACAUAGCACAGGGAUACUGGGCACUACUGUGGUAGUUUAACAGCCCUAGUUUGAGGAUUACAAAAAAGAUGGCAUAGCUCUGUUUCUCAGUGCCCUGUUAGAAUCCUUAGAACAAAGCAGGCUAAAGUAAUUUUAAAAUAGCGUAUCUGCAAAAAUCCAAAUAUGUGCUAUAUACACGCUAACAUUGCUAAUCCAAAGCAAUGUACAGAAAGGAAAAGAAAUAGAGUGUACAGGACGUUUAUGGACCUGGAUGAGCAGCUGGCCUCACUCUGUAAGAAAACUAGGCACAGGUGCUGGGAUCCAGCCCAGGGCCCUGAUUCCCAGCUGGCACACUGAAAGAGGCUUCCAGCUCAGAGAGAGUUAGAUGUCUGUUCCUUGGGAGGAGAGGCCUCGGAAAGGGGAGGAGGUUGUUCCCUUAGCAUGACAAGAAAGCUCUGUUGCCCGAGCCAAAGGGGAAUGGAGUCUUUCUUUUUUUCUUAUAUCUGCUGGGUAUACUUCCUCUUUCAUCUGUUAGAUUAGUGAUAAAAAAUAGAAAAUGAGAGAUAUGUGUCAUAUUGGAAUGAGCAUGAGGCUUGUAAUCCUGGUUGACAAGCAGUCUGGAUGGCUUACUUUUACCUGCUGCUCAGAUUAGUCUGAGUUUCCCUUCCUCUAUCCAGUGCAGCUGAUGAACUGCGAGAUAUGUGUGGCCCCAGCUGUGCCUUCAGCUCUCACACAAAGCUCCCUCCUGAAGUUGCUUUCAGAGAAGAGUUUCCGGUUUGGGGGACUUUACUUCCCCAGUAUACUGUUCAAAUCCAACAGUAAAGCUCUUUUACAUCAACUUUGGGUUUUCUUAUAUACAGAUACAACUUGCUAGCCACGCUUUGUACAGUCACAUAGCCAAGAUUAAAGAAUAUAAUGCAUUACUGAGAAAAAACAACAAAAAUAGCUUUAAGGUAACAGGACGUUUGGGGGUGAAUGCCUCCUCAGGCUGUCUCUAGGGGACACUAUAAUAGUAGUAAAGUGAAUAGAGGUCUAAGACACAGGAGAGAGGUUGUGAUUACAUGGGAAAACCCAGACAAAGUGUCUACUGUUUCUGACUCCUGAAAUUCAGCCACAUAGGAAAAAAGCAGGAUGCAGGCAAAGCACCACUAGCACCACUUGUGCUUGAUGGCUUUUUGUUAUUUUUCUAUAGCUUCACAUCACAUUUUACCAGGUAUUUCCCCUCAAGAUUCUUAUAUACCUACACAUCAGUGCAAACCAAAUGUCAAUAGAGCUGUAUUUUACUUGCCCUGGAAGUUGCUGUUCUUCUUGUAUCACAUCAACAAAGAUUUAGAAAACAUUUAUUUUCAGGCCUUUCCAAUAUUUUUUAUAUUAUCUGCAAGCACCACAAUUUGAUCCUACAAAUACCUAACUGUGCACGUUCCCUUACCAUGUUGUAUCUGUUAAUGUUGCUAAUAGCAAAGGGACAUGACAUGCAUAUGCAUGCAUAGGAUUGGGGCCCAGCAGUUUAGGUCCUGCUGAGGUCAAGGCACAGACAUUCAGACAAACACUGAUUUAGAAAAUUUACAGUAUUAGAGGACGGUUGUAGAAAGGGAAAGCUCGCUGACCAUUCCAAAGGAACCAACUCCUUUUUUAAAUCUCUUAAUCUGCUUUUCAUUAUCUCUGUGGGGAGGCCUCUUGAGAAAAGCAGCUCUUUGACUUGAAUAAAGGAGGGGCUGUGGGCUUGCAUGCUGGAAUGGGAAGGUCAUUGUAUGGCAGCACAGAAGAUGGGAGUGUUAGUCAGGUCAAGGAGAACAGGAUAAAAAAGUGUGAGAUCUGUGUUACCGCCUUGGUCUGGAUUAUGUAAGGUAGCGAGUUUAAACCAGGGAUGGUAAACAAGAGAGAGUGAUUCAAAGGCUGAAAUAUAUUCUGGUAGGGUCAUUCAGACUGAUUGUUAGGAAAAAAUAUAUGGGCUAGGACUGAUAGGAUCAUCAGCAAAACCAGCAAGAAAGAGAUAACAAUAGCUGAGGCCCAAGAGGGCUAAAUUCUACACAGGAAUUCUUUGCUUCAGCAAAUCAACCUUUCCAUCCUCAAUAUCUUUCUUAUUUGUUCUUUUAAAAGAAAUGCUCAGUUCUUCCCUCCUUUCAGGCAGACAAAGCCCAAAUAUGCCUGGGAGACAAUGAGACAUAGCAUUUUCCCUGCUACCCAGUGGUACAGCUGCGUACGUGUGCUUGUAAUCCUCUCUCUUCUAAAGCAGUGCUUAUCACAGCAGCCUCAGCUUUACCAAAUUGCUAAAGAAAGUUAGGCCAUUGCCACUAAAAUGGCCCUUGGAAGUAGCCCAUUUUUCUCCGUCUUUUAUAAUACAAAGCUAACAAUUCUCCUACAAUGGUGUGCAGCCCUUCUGUUUCUUUAAUGGACACAGACUGGAAAGUAUCUGUCUUGCAGGACCUUUGUAUUCCCCAGCAUUCCUGUAAUCCCUGCUGACUUCACCAGGAGUUUUAAGAUCUGUAAGGUGCGCAGGAUCAGGACUACUAAAUCUGGGAUUGAGAGCAGGGGACCUUCCAUGGUUGCAGGACUUUCUUGCCUUAUUUCUUGAUAGAUUUAUGAAAGUAGAGGUGGCAGAUUUCAAGCUUUUAUUGACAGUAACACAACAUUUGGUGUUUUCUUAAAGACCUAACUCUGAGAGGCAGAUGAUGAUGGCACAAGAUUGUCAGCUUUCUCUGUUUCUAACUGCAGACAGGAACUUGCAAACCCUCCAGACUAAAAAAAAAAAAAAAAAAA